rnacentral:lncRNA from 1 species
AAAAAUCAAAGAAAAAAAGAGAGAAGAGAAGUUUGAAUUUACGAGGGAUUUCGGAUAAAAAAUUAAAAAAUAAACAGUAGUUCUCGCAAUUCAAGUGCAAUAUCCGGUGUUUCUUCGAAAUUUUACGUUGAAUCUUUGAAAUUCAGAGCAGAUUACGGGUGCGGAUAAUCGAUCUUCCAUUUCAUUUUCGUCUAGAUCAAGAUCUGGUAUGCUUGACCAUUAUUCUAUUACGAUCCUUCUGUUUUGGAAAUGAUCUGAAGUUUUGUUAGGUUUUUAAGGUUAUGCAUUUAGCUUUGUGAUGAAAUUUGCAUAUAUAAAUAAAUAAAACAGUGCUUUCAAGGGAGGGAGAGAUGAAGUAAUCGUUAAUUAUAUGCAAAACAAUUGAAAACUGGAAAUAUGCAAAUAAGGAUCACAUUUUUAGGUAGUUUUCAGGGAAAGAAAUAGCUAUCAAUUUUUUUUCUCAGUGAUACAAAUAGAAACAUCAAAACCAGGCAAUUAUGAUUAUAUAUAUAUUGGUAAUGAUCUGAAAUUUUGUUAGGUUAUUAAGGUUACGCAUUCAGUUUUGUGAUAAAAUUUGCCUUUAAAUGUAUAUAGAACUAGAUAAAACAGUACUUUCAAGGGAGGGAGAGAUGAUGUAAUCAUUAUUUAUAUGCAAAACAAUUGGAAACUGGAAAUAUGCAAAUAAGAAUCACAGAUUUAGGUACUUUACAGGGAAAGAAAUAGCUAUCGAAAUUUUUUUCUUAGUGAUACAAACAGAAACAUCAAAACCAGGCAAUUAUGCUUAAUUUGUUUUUUUUUUUUUUUUGGUUUUACAAUUAAACUGUGACAGUUAUGCUUGUGAAAAGUUCUCUGGUAAUCUCAUCUAGGAGUCCAUUAAGCACAUACUUCUCCACAUCUUUGAUAACAUCAUCUUUCUCAAGAAACCCAAACAUGGCGUUAUU